rnacentral:rRNA from 1 species
GAUGAACGCUGGCGGCGUGCCUAAUACAUGCAAGUCGAGCGAACGGACGAGAAGCUUGCUUCUCUGAUGUUAGCGGCGGACGGGUGAGUAACACGUGGAUAACCUACCUAUAAGACUGGGAUAACUUCGGGAAACCGGAGCUAAUACCGGAUAAUAUUUUGAACCGCAUGGUUCAAAAGUGAAAGACGGUCUUGCUGUCACUUAUAGAUGGAUCCGCGCUGCAUUAGCUAGUUGGUAAGGUAACGGCUUACCAAGGCAACGAUGCAUAGCCGACCUGAGAGGGUGAUCGGCCAAACUGGAACUGAGACACGGUCCAGACUCCUACGGGAGGCAGCAGUAGGGAAUCUUCCGCAAUGGGCGAAAGCCUGAAGGAGCAACGCCGCGUGAGUGAUGAAGGGCUUCGGAUCGUAAAACUCUGUUAUUAGGGAAGAACAUAUGUGUAAGUAACUGUGCACAUCUUGACGGUACCUAAUCAGAAAGCCACGGCUAACUACGUG